UCCUGGCUCAGAACGAACGCUGGCGGCGUGUUUAAGACAUGCAAGUCGUACGGGGGACUUUGAUAGCUUGCUAGAGAAGUUCCUAGUGGCGCACGGGUGAGUAACACGUGAGUGACAUGCCCUGCAGUGGGGGAUAGCCCGCCGAAAGGCGGAUUAAUACCCCAUGGUUUCCGCAAGGAUAAAGGUGGCUUUUAGCUGCCGCUGCAGGAUUGGCUCGCGUCCUAUCAGCUUGUUGGUGAGGUAACGGCUCACCAAGGCGACGACGGGUACCUGGUUUGAGAGGAUGAUCAGGCACACUGGAACUGAGACACGGUCCAGACACCUACGGGUGGCAGCAGUCGAGAAUAAUUCACAAUGGGGGAAACCCUGAUGGUGCAACGCCGCGUGGAGGAUGAAGGUCUUCGGAUUGUAAACUCCUGUCAUUUGAGAGCAAGACCUGGCGGUGAAUAGCCGACAGGGUUGAUAGUAUCGAAAGAGGAAGGGACGGCUAACUUCGUGCCAGCAGCCGCGGUAAUACGAAGGUCCCGAGCGUUGUUCGGAAUCACUGGGCGUAAAGGGAGCGUAGGCGGCAAGGUAAGUCAGGUGUGAAAUCCCGGGGCUCAACCCCGGAACUGCACCCGAUACUGCUUUGCUAGAGUAAUGGAGGGGUAGCUGGAAUUCUCGGUGUAGCAGUGAAAUGCGUGGAUAUCGAGAGGAACACUUAUGGCGAAGGCAAGCUACUGGACAUUUACUGACGCUGAGGCUCGAAGGCCAGGGGAGCGAAAGGGAUUAGAUACCCCUGUAGUCCUGGCAGUAAACGGUGUGCGCUUGGUGUGAGGGGUUUCGACCCCCCUUGUGCCGGAGCUAACGCGUUAAGCGCACCGCUGGGGAGUACGGUCGC
rnacentral:rRNA from 1 species